AAUUUGUUAUCGGAGUAGUAAUAGUUAUGGUCUUGAAACUCAAAGAAUUUGGCGGUAUUUUAGUCCUUUCAGAGGAAUCUGUCCUGUAAUUGAUAUUACACGAUUUAUUAUACUUGAUUUUGUUAUCAGUUUAUAUACCGCCGUCAGUAAGAUUAUCUUGUGGAGAGUAUUAAAUUUCAUUAUAUUUUAUUAAGUAUUAUGUCAGGUCAAGGUGUAGCUAAUGAUUAAGUAGAGAUGGAUUACAAUAAAAAUAUUUUUUGGAUGAUGAUUUGAAAGUUUUGUUUGAAAGUGGAUUUGAUUGUAAAUGAAUGUAGAUUGAUUUAUUGAUUAAGGCUCUAGAAUGUGUACAUAUCGCCCGUCGCUCUCGUUUUAAGAUGAG
rnacentral:rRNA from 1 species